rnacentral:piRNA from 1 species
CCGUGCUGAUCAGUAGUGGGAUC